AUGAAGAAUUUUGUGGGGAUACGAUCUUCCUUGCUUUUCUGCAUGAUUUUGGCUUUUUCUGAGCAAGAGUCAGUGUCCACAGGAUGUACUACCUCUACCUUCCAGGCUGUGGUUCCACCGACUCUGCUUGGUCAAGAUCGCUUCUUACAUUCUGAUGAAGUGUCUCUGGGAACUGGCUGUCCUGUAACUAACAUAACUGAGAAGGGGUAUGAGUUUAAUUAUCUUGUCACCGAGUGUGGGAUUCAGAAAGAGGUAAGAAGAACUGUGACCAUUUCAAAAUAACAAACUAACCUGCCCCCCCCCCCCACCAAAUAAUCUUGCUGUGGCCACUGUGCUUAAGUCAGUGCAAGGCCAGAGAUCUCAUUUUUAUGACACUUGGGUUUGGUACUUUUAGGAUGGGAAGACCAAUGCGACCCAGGAAUUGGCCUUGAAGAGCUCUCGGCCCAUUAGGAGACAGUGCAGUGUCAUAUAUUUUAUUAUGACUUUUCAAGCACUCAUAAAUCUUUGGUCCUUAGAUCUCCUAGAAACACCAAAAAAAAAAAUAUCAUUUCCAGUUUUCAUGUUAAUACCUGAGCCUAAAAAUGCUGGCAGUUUACCACAGGUCAUGGAGCUCUCCAGCAGAAGGACUGAAAUUUAGAUAUUGGUAACUACAGAUUUACAUUCUUUUGAAGAAGGCAAUGGGAAAUUGUGGAUCACAAUAUAUUUUAGAGAUGGAAAACACUGGGAGGAUUCAGAGGAUGGAAAGAUUAGUGAAAGUUGGAUUAGAGGUGAAUUUUCUGGUACCUUGUUGGUAAUUUUUACAUCUCCAUGAAUGAGUUUGGGCUAUAAUUGCCCUUUCUAAUAUGCUUUAUCAUGUUUUGGAGUAGUUUGAGUAAGAUUUUUUGGUAUUUAUUUUUCUUUUUGGUUAUCUAACUAGAAUGAAGUUGAGUCCUAGUUGUUUUAAUACAACUGUGGAGUGGGAAGAGAGCUAGGGAAUGAAUCCAGGUUUCCUGACAAGAACUUUCAAAUGACUCAAUGCUGACCUUUGGUGGAGAAUGAAAAAGUGGGCUCUGCAUUUUAACAUGCAGUGGUUUUACACCGUGAGCUCGUGAGAAAUAUUGAGUGGAGAAUAACUCCAUGAUCUAUUGAGGGCAUGUGUGUGUGUGAGCCUGCUAUACAAACAGUUCUAGUUUCCUUCCAUAUACUUUCACAUCCACAAAACAUAUUGAUUCAACUUCUUUUUUGGAAGUUUGCAUAUUUCUAUUUUUUUUUUUUUGGUUUUAUGAACCUUUCCCACAUUUCA
rnacentral:lncRNA from 1 species